rnacentral:rRNA from 1 species
UACGUAGGGUGCAAGCGUUAAUCGGAAUUACUGGGCGUAAAGCGUGCGCAGGCGGCUAUGCAAGACAGACGUGAAAUCCCCGGGCUCAACCUGGGAACUGCAUUUGUGACUGCAUGGCUAGAGUACGGUAGAGGGGGAUGGAAUUCCGCGUGUAGCAGUGAAAUGCGUAGAUAUGCGGAGGAACACCGAUGGCGAAGGCAAUCCCCUGGACCUGUACUGACGCUCAUGCACGAAAGCGUGGGGAGCAAACAGG